GACGAACGCUGGCGGCGUGCUUAACACAUGCAAGUCGGGCGGUAAGGCCCUUUCGGGGGUACACGAGCGGCGAACGGGUGAGUAACACGUGGGUGACCUGCCCUUAGCUCUGGGAUAAGCCUGGGAAACUGGGUCUAAUACCGGAUAUGACUCCAUGACGCAUGUUGUGGGGUGGAAAGCCUUGUGCGGCUAGGGAUGGGCCCGCGGCCUAUCAGCUUGUUGGUGGGGUGAUGGCCUACCAAGGCGACGACGGGUAGCCGGCCUGAGAGGGCGACCGGCCACACUGGGACUGAGACACGGCCCAGACUCCUACGGGAGGCAGCAGUGGGGAAUCUUGCGCAAUGGGCGAAAGCCUGACGCAGCGACGCCGCGUGGGGAGUGACGGCCUCGGU
rnacentral:rRNA from 1 species